UCUAUGAACGGUGAUGUGCUAUAAAACUUGAAUGUCAAAUGUCAAAAUGGACACCGGUAUUGAACAAAAUUGCUGGUACCUUGCUCGGUCGCCAUCACGUCUAAUUUAAAAAGCUACUAUAUGAUCAUUAUUUAAAAGCCACUCGCUUAUGGACUUUAACUAAAUUGAUAAAGCUUUUUCCUUAUUUAUUACAAAGAAGGUACUACAUCGCUUAAUAAAAGUAAAAUCUUGAAGACACUAACAGUAAUAAUCACUUUAACAGUAUUCCCAGCAAUAAAAUACAAACAACAAAGAAGACUUACCGGGCACUCAAAAGUUCGUCGGAAAAGACGUAAUAAACCUUUGAGUAAUGUAAUAAAAAAUCGAAUGAAUUAAAUGUUUCAUUACAAUUUUA